GAUGAACGCUGGCGGCGUGCCUAAUACAUGCAAGUCGAGCGAACAGAUAAGGAGCUUGCUCCUUUGACGUUAGCGGCGGACGGGUGAGUAACACGUGGGUAACCUACCUAUAAGACUGGAAUAACUCCGGGAAACCGGGGCUAAUGCCGGAUAACAUUUAGAACCGCAUGGUUCUAAAGUGAAAGAUGGUUUUGCUAUCACUUAUAGAUGGACCCGCUCCGUAUUAGCUAGUUGGUAAGGUAACGGCUUACCAAGGCAACGAUACGUAGCCGACCUGAGAGGGCGAUCGGCCACACUGGAACUGAGACACGGUCCAGACUCCUACGGGAGGCAGCAGUAGGGAAUCUUCCGAAAUGGGCGAAAGCCUGACGGAGCAACGCCGCGUGAGUGAUGAAGGUCUUCGGAUCGUAAAACUCUGUUAUUAGGGAAGAACAAAUGUGUAAGUAACUGUGCACGUCUUGACGGUACCUAAUCAGAAAGCCACGGCUAACUACGUG
rnacentral:rRNA from 1 species